rnacentral:rRNA from 1 species
AGGGUUUGAUCCUGGCUCAGGAUGAACGCUGGCGGCGUGCCUAACACAUGCAAGUCGAGCGAAGCGCCUGGAAGUUUUCGGACAGAAGGGUGACUGAGCGGCGGACGGGUGAGUAACGCGUGGGUAAUCUGCCUCAUACAGGGGAAUAACAGCUAGAAAUGGCUGCUAAUGCCGCAUAAGCGCACAGGACCGCAUGGUCUGGUGUGAAAAACUCCGGUGGUAUGAGAUGAACCCGCGUCUGAUUAGUUAGUUGGCAGGGUAACGGCCUACCAAGACGACGAUCAGUAGCCGGCCUGAGAGGGUGGACGGCCACAUUGGGACUGAGACACGGCCCAG